rnacentral:rRNA from 1 species
GAUGAACGCUGGCGGCGUGCCUAAUACAUGCAAGUCGAGCGAACAGACGAGGAUCUUUCUCCUCUGACGUUAGCGGCGGACGGGUGAGUAACACGUGGAUAACCUACAUAUAAGGCUUGGAUAAGUUCGGGAAACCGGAGCUAAUACCGGGUAAUAUAUUGAACCUCAGGGUUCAAUAGUGAAAGACGGUUUGGCUGUCACUUAUAGAUGGAUCCUCGCCGCAGUAGCUAGUUGGUAAGGUAACGGCGUACCAAGGCAACGAUGCGUAGCCGAACUGAGAGGGUGAUCGGCCACCCUGGAACUGAGACACGGUCAAGACUCCUACGGGAGGCAGCAGUAGGGAAUCUUCCGCAAUGGGCGAAAGCCUGACGGAGCAACGCCGCGUCAGUGAUGAAGGUCUUCGGAUCGUAAAACUCUGUUAUUAGGGAAGAACAAAUGUGUAAGUAACUAUGCACGUCUUGACGGUACCUAAUCAGAAAGCCACGGCUAACUACGUG